CUACGGGCCGCAGCAGUGGGGAAUAUUGCACAAUGGACGAAAGUCUGAUGCAGCAACGCCGCGUGGAGGAUGACACCUUUCGGAGCGUAAACUCCUUUUAUAUAGGAAGAUAAUGACGGUACUAUAUGAAUAAGCACCGGCUAACUCCGUGCCAGCAGCCGCGGUAAUACGGAGGGUGCAAGCGUUACUCGGAAUCACUGGGCGCAAAGAGCGUGUAGGCGGAUAGAUAAGUCAGGAGUGAAAUCCUAUGGCUCAACCAUAGAACUGCUCUUGAAACUGUCUAUCUAGAAUAUGGGAGAGGUAGAUGGAAUUUCUGGUGUAGGGGUAAAAUCCGUAGAGAUCAGAAGGAAUACCGAUUGCGAAGGCGAUCUACUGGAACAUUAUUGACGCUGAGACGCGAAAGCGUGGGGAGCAAACAGGAUUAGAUACCCUCGUAGUC
rnacentral:rRNA from 1 species